UCAAGAAACUUCCACAAUGGGCGAAAGCCUGAUGGAGCGACGUCGCGUGAUGGACGAAGUGCUUCGGCACGUAAACAUCUUUUAUGUGGGAUGAAAUUAUUGACAGUACCACAUGAAUAAGGGGCUCCUAACUCUGUGCCAGCAGGAGCGGUAAUACAGAGGCCCCAAGCGUUAUCCGGAAUCACUGGGCGUAAAGGGUGUCGAGGCGGUUGUAUUAGUCGUUCGUAAAAUCUACGAGCUUAACUUGUAGGCGGCGAACGAAACGGUACGACUUGAGGUUUGGAGAGGUGCGUGGAACUCACGGUGUAGGGGUGAAAUCCGUUGAUAUCGUGGGGAACACCAAAGGCGAAGGCAGCGCACUGGCCAAAAUCUGACGCUCACACACGAAAGCUAGGGUAGCGAAGAGGAUUAGAUACCCUGGUAGUCCCUGAGCGGGCUGGCAAGGC
rnacentral:rRNA from 1 species